GUUACCAGCACGUUAUGGUGGGCACUCUAAGGAGACUGCCGGUGACAACCGAGGAAGGUGGGGAUGACGUCAAGUCAUCAUGGCCCUUACGGCCUGGGCUACACACGUGCUACAAUGGUCGGUACAAAGGGUUGCCAAGCCGCGAGGUGGAGCUAAUCCCAUAAAACCGAUCGUAGUCCGGAUCGCAGUCUGCAACUCGACUGCGUGAAGUCGGAAUCGCUAGUAAUCGUGAAUCAGAAUGUCACGGUGAAUACGUUCCCGGGCCUU
rnacentral:rRNA from 1 species